rnacentral:rRNA from 1 species
UGGAGGCUUCUUGGGGCCUGGGGGGGCAGUCCUGACGCAGCGAUGCCGCGUGGGGGACGAAGGUCUUCGGAUUGUAAACCCCUUUCGGGAGGGAAGAUGGGAUGGGGUAACCCAUUCGGACGGUACCUUCAGAAGCAGCCACGGCUAACUUCGUGCCAGCAGCCGCGGUAAUACGAAGGUGGCAAGCGUUGUUCGGAUUUACUGGGCGUACAGGGAGCGUAGGCGGGUCGGUAAGCCCUCUGUGAAAUCUCCAGGCUUAACCUGUAACAGUCGGAGGGGACUGCUGAGCUAGAGGAUGGGAGAGGAGCGCGGAAUUCCCGGUGUAUCGGUGAAAUGCGUAAAGAUCGGGAGGAAGGCCGGUGGCUAAGGCGGCGCUCUGGAACAUAUCUGACGCUGAGGCUCGAAAGCGUGGGGAGCAAACAGGAUUACAUACCCUGGUAGUCCACGCCUUAAACGAUGAAUACUAAGUGUCGGCGGGUUACCGCCGGUGCCGCAGCUAACGCAGUAAGUAUUCCGCCUGGGAAGUACGGCCGCAAGGUGGAAAACUCAAAGGAUU